AUCAGGACACUGCCUCCCCCACGCUGUAAUGCGUCAAACCUGGAAGUGCACAUAUUAAAGCAAGAGUUUAUCUGCCACAUAAGAAAGCACAUUCAUAAAAGCAGCAACAAUUGAGUUGGGCACACACGAACAUUGACAAAGUAAAUAAGGAGAAGGCAUGCAAGACUGGCUACCGAAAAUAGAGGAAACCGCACAAGCAUGGAUAUUAAUUUAAAGACAUUAAAACUGCACACUUUUCCAGCCCUCCUAGGCCAUCAGUGCUCCCAACCUUCCGAUCAUCAAUGUGAACCACUUUCGGCCAUCAGAUGAGCCGUGAAUAUCCUGUGUCAUUCGCUAACUCUGAUCUCUCAACGUCAUGGGCUGCUGCUCCAGUAGCUUUUUUGGACGUUCUGGAUUCAAUUGGGCUAAUGGGCUGUUCCAUCGAGGAGGAGUGUCUGGCGCAUAAAAACAAGGACUCCGGCCUGCGUUCCCAUUACGAGUAUAGGCCCAUUCUCGGAAAAAAAUCGAGAGAACAGGCAGCAUCUCCAGCCGUUCAGCGACCACCUAGCGGAUCGGUUGAGCCGCCGGUCGAUUUGGAUGCGAGGCUGUGAGCGUGGCUAUGUUGCGGGCGAGGCCACGUGGCAUUUACCGUCGUGGGACGCGGCCGUACGCCGAGCUGGUUCGAGCCUCCCGGAUCGGACGCCAAUGCAGGAUAAAGGCGAAGCGUCGUGGUCUGUUCGGUGAGGCAAGCGAGUGGAACUGGUCGCCGGUAUUGGGGACAAUCAAUCAUCCAUUUCAGCAGGGCUUUAACGUGGAUGAGUAAAUGGAGGUAUGCAUUCCGUCUCCUCGAUCCCCUACACGCCAACCCUUCCCCUCAGUCCGCAUGGACGCCGCGGCCGGCGGACACAGUGGACGACGAGGCUUGAGCCUGUGCGCGGGACGACCCCGACUGCGAUCGGUGAGGGGGAACAGACUGGAGGACGACGAACAAAGUAUCAUGGGAGCUCAAACGGGCAAAGGUCAAUGGUGCCGCAGCCUUCUUGCUCGUGCCUCCCCACCCGCAGAUUCAUCAUCACCACCCUUGAUGUCUCUCCCGUCUCCACCUUUCACCUUGGCACCAACACCCAACAUCAGUUCUGCACACAAAGGCCGGGGAAAAGACAGGCACAACAGCUACGAGCUCAUGCACAGGUAUCACCUAUGUUGUUUUGUUUAUCCUUCGCUACCACCAGCAUUAUUCUUCUUAUUUACCUAUAAUCUUUUCUUCUAUCCUUUCCUCCAGGAUCAUAGUCUGGCAUGAAUUUCACCUGAUUUUGUUCACGCGAAUGAUGCAACAGUACUUGUUGGAUCGUGGUGAACUGUAUAUUUAAUUUUCUCUUCAUGGCUUCUGUUUUCUAACUUAUUCUUAGAAAUUUAUUGGCGUGCAUGAUAACUGGAUCCCUUUUUUUCUGAUGCACAAGUGGUAAGUUUGCUGCUAUCUCCCAUCCUAUGUGUAUUUGGCUUGCUGAAUUUACGGAUUUGUUUAACUGCUAAAAUUAGAUAGCUUUCUGAUUUAUGGUGUUCAGUCUACUUGAUCGAAGACAAAGGCUGCUCGGUAUGGAAAAUGAUUAAUUUUUUUACUCCAGCAGUACUAAUGUGUGGGCUUUCUCCAUUCUUGCAAGAACUAUGUACUUUGGCUAUGUGGUGGCAUCUACAUUAUGAGCAAUUGGGCACUUUGUUUCUAUUUUGAAAAAUAAAAUUAUACUAGCAUGUGUUAUUUAAAGAUCAGGGUUUGCAGAGUUAUCUACGUAUUAGCAAACCUUUCUAUAACUUGACAAUUCAAUGUUGAUAUGGUGAAUUGUAUAUCUUAUUCUCUAUAGGCGUAGUAUUCUUGCGAAAUAUCUAAACUUCUCUUGUUCAAAGGAAUUAAUACAAAAUUCUAAGUUCGCCUAAAAUGGUACAUUGUUAAUUGAACUCUUGGACAAAUUUUUCAUGAUAAGCAACUAUGAAAACAAUUGUUAUAUGAUUUGGGGGUGUUGUCUGCGGGCGGUUGUCUCUCGUAGCUAGGGCUAUAGGGUGUCUGUGCCGUGCGGAAUUGUGGCUCGCGUGCGAGCGGUGGUUGUCGGAGUGGCGGCUCCAGACUCGGGUGUGUGUUGAGGCGAUUGUAGCUUUGUGUCGUGUGGACGAUGAGGCUUUGUUGCUUGUGCGGUUUUUUGGUUUGGUUUUCCUUAUAAACUGGUCCGCCAUAUUUGGUUUUCGAUCUGGUUUUUCUUAUAAACUGGAUGAAUUUCUUUUUGAAAUAUAUUCAGNNNNNNNNNNNNNNNNNNNNNNNNNNNNNNNNNNNNNNNNNNNNNNNNNNNNNNNNNNNNNNNNNNNNNNNNNNNNNNNNNNNNNNNNNNNNNNNNNNNNNNNNNNNNNNNNNNNNNNNNNNNNNNNNNNNNNNNNNNNNNNNNNNNNNNNNNNNNNNNNNNNNNNNNNNUGAUGUACUUAUAUUUCAUAAACCUUUAACAUGAAUGUAGAUGGAAGCAUAUUGAUUAAGUUGCAAAAUUGUGUGAGAAGAUGCAGUAUACUCUAUCUGUCCCAAAAUAAGUGUUACGGUUUUAGGUCAAUAUUUAACUAAAACCAUGUGUUAGAGUACGUAAUAGACCUAAUGGGCCUAUUAGUCUUAGGGUUAAUUAGAGAUAAGGGUCGCUUGCUUAGGGGUCAAGUAAGCCUUGCUUAGGAGUCAAGUAAACCUCUCUAUAUAAAGAGAGGAGAUGUAUCAAUCUAAUCAAGCAAGAAUUAAGAAGGAAAUCCCUUCCCUCUUGCCCAGCCGUGGGCAAAAAGGCCCUCGGCCGACCCUCUCGCGCCCUCCUUCUAGCAGCGCCAUAACAAUUUGGUAUUAGCUAGCUUCGGUUCGAUCAUGUCUUCACCGCCGCCAAGCCCGUCUCUUUCGCUGCUGGUCACCUUGUCGCCUCCAGCGACCACCACGACCGUCACCCCGCUCCUGCCCGCGCCGGGAUCCUCUGUCGUGCCCGCCCCCACCGUCCUCACCUGGGAGGAGGUGUCCGGGAUGCUGCGGGACCUAACCCAAGCGGUCCAGGAGAUCCACCUGUUCUUGGCCGGGUCCUACGGGUCGCACCCGAUUGCGCCGCCCAUCGUCGCCCCCGCGCCGCUGUGGCUGUCGUGGCAGCCGCCGUACCAAGCGGCCUUCGCCGCGCUCGCCGGGCCGCUACAGCAGCCGCUGCAGUCGCCAUCCAUCGCCACCACCGCCCAGCCAUGGCUGCAGUGGCAGCCGCCGCUCCUGGCGGCCUCCGCCGCGACAGCGCAGCAGCCGCUGCAGCAGCCACCGCCCGUCAGCUCCACCGCCCAGUAUGGGAUGCCCUAUGACGGGAGUGCGAUGACCUCGUUCCCAUCAGCGCCGCCGCCAUCCCAGGGCGUCCACAUCCAGCAGAUCAAGUCCCUGUUGUCGCCGUCACCGCUUCCGUCUUGGAUCGCUACCCGCCACGUGUCGGCGGCGGUGAGGCUGCAGGCUGCUGCGCGCGGCCUCCUAGCGUGUCGGCGUGUGCGGGAGAUGCGUGGUCUGCAGCUGCCGCUCCUCCAAGUUGCCCUUCGCUGUGCAAAGGACCUCGAUCUCGUCCGUUGCGUCGGGGAUCUUGGGCAUGCUGUUUUCCCCGCAGGCAGCAACCUCAAAGUCUGCGACAUCGGCGGUUGAGGGGGCGCACCCCUCCUCAUCAUUCUCCAUCGCAAGCCCUCCACUCUUCCAUGUGCGGUGCAGACCAACAGCCAUACACAUGCACUCAUUUUGUCCAGAUGGUGUCCAUGGGUCCAGGUGGCUGUACAUGUGCAUGUCCAAAAUAAAGCGUCCUAGUCUAUUUCAGAUUGAGAAUAAUAAAACAAGCCGAGAUGUAAAAGACUUGUUUUUAGGUGUUAGAUUUGUGUUGCGUCGAGUCAUGGUUAUAAGUUGGUUAGGCUGCAGCUCGAGGACAAGCUGCAUGUCCAGGUAGGAUGUAGUGUUAGAGUAUGUAAUGGGCCUAGGCCCAUUAAUCUUAGGGUUAAUUAGAGAUAAGGAUCGCUUGCUUAGAGAUCAAGUAAGCCUUGCUUGGGAGUCAAGUAAACCUCUCUAUAUAAAGAGAGGAGAUGUAUCAAUCUAAUCAAGCAAGAAUUAAGAAAGAAAUUCCUUCCCUUUUGCCCGGCGGUGGGCAAAAAGACCCCCGGCCGGCCCUCUCGCGCCCUCCUUGUAGCAGCGCCAUAACACCAUGACACUUAUUUUUGGACACAAGGAGUACUAAACAAAUGUAUACAAGUUGCUUUCUAUUCCUAACAAUUAAGAGUCAAAAUAGAUGAGCGUGGCAACGCGCGCCAACAAUGAUCUAGUACAUAAAUAAAUAUACACAUGGCGACCCAACCUUGAGUGUCAGAGCCUCUUUUCCUUCAGUCAUGCCAGUGCCUUAAGAAUUAUUUGUCUUCGUCACAUGCUAGCAGUUCCCACCACGAUAUUUUGUGGUAGCAAAUAUAAACACUCGACACUUGUUUAAAAGAAGAGAAUGUCAUGUUCCAAGACUCUAAAAGGACCGGCUGAAGAGUCAUAUAGAUGCAUGCAUGUUAAUUGGCUACAAUCUUGAAGGCAUACAACUUUGUAAACUUCUAUGAACAAAUUAGGUUGCUAAAUUAACAACCAAGAGCACAGUGUCGAUCCAUAUUAUCCAAAAUAUGCUAGCUAGCUGCACUAACGAAGUCCACUCCAAAUUGAGACGACGCAAAUCAUAUUUGGGAGCUAUAGCUGCUAGUGUUCUCCAAAUUGAGACGACGCAAAUCAUAUUUGGGAGCUAUAGCUGCUAGUGGACGCAUGGGAUUCUACUGUCCCACCACAACCAGCUUAAUUCGGCAAAAGCAAACCAGUUUAUUAGAACCAAGCUUCUACGGUUAUACAAUUGAAAACCUACAAACUGGUUCAUCUUGAACUGAACAAUGAAUUUUACCUAGAGCUAAUGAAAUUCUUCUCGUUCUUUUUUAUAUCUAUUACCGCCAUCCUCCCUUUAUAGGCAAAUGAAGAUCAGCUAGUCAGUUAGAUUUAAGAGAGAUCAGCGAGUCCUAAAAGCCUUCCAACUGAUGAGAGGGGAAUAAUAAUGCAUUCAUAUAAAAUAAACAAUCCAAUUUGUUGCUGGCAGGAUAAAAUCGAAGCAACAAGGUCUUCUCCAACUCAGUAAAAACCAUUUGAUAAGUAAUUUAGAUGCCAAGAAAUUUUAAUAACUGAACUGAAUCCCUUUGACUGCAGUACAUACUCGAUAUGGGCCUUUGCAUCUUGUCAGAUUUUGGCUGCUACUUCCAUUUUCUUCCUGGCACUUUUCUCUCCGACCUGUACUUUGACAAAAUCUGACUUCUUCGUGUUGUAUUCUAAUAACAUUGGGAGAUACAUUAAUCAAAUUAAUGUCCACUAUAUUUAUUUUCUUGGCAAAUUAAACUAACCUUCCUCAUUUGGAAACCGCUUCUUCCCCUGGGAAUCAUAAGUGUCAUUCUGAAUUUAAAAUGCAAAAACAGAGAAACUUAAAAUGUGAACUUAAAACACUGCAUUAACUAUCUAAGCAUUUGGGAACUUAAAAUGCAAAAACAGAGAAACAACAAGAUAGUAGAAAAACAGUGCAAGAGUAAUCUCCACAUAGCAUCAAUGCAUUUUUACGAAACACAAAUGCAUCUGGUGAAGACUGUAAUAUGCUCACCAGACCGACAUAUGUAUCUGAAUAUGCUCACAAUUUAAUCUGUAAGAGAAUCGACAUAUGACAUGCGACUUGAUCUUAUUGUUACAAAUUAGUAAGCAUCUGCCAGUGUAGAGUAGCCAUCUACUUGCAAUUUCCAAGACAUUUCUCUACAAAUAUUCAUCUGUCAGUGUAGCUGCAUCACCCCCAAAACAUUCAGGUCUAGGCAUAACCAAAAAAAAUCUUCUGUGCCGUGCAGUUUAAUAAUACUAAAAGCAAACCAGUAAGAGGAGGGAAGGAAGGUCGCAACCUGCACAGAGCAUGUCCUUGAGGCCAAAUUACGAAUGGUCCUCCUUCCCCAGCAAUCAUUUUCAGAACCAUAAACAACAGUCAAAAUCGGUUCACCAUCAGGAAUAAAGAUGAGUCGUUGUCGUGAUCGCCUUGAUGGCAAUUGAAAUAAGACUGCUCCCUUAAAGCCGAUACAGAUGGAUUGGCUCACUCAUUUCACCUGAAUAACAAACACCACAUAUUUAGAUGCAAAAAAAAAAGAUAUAAAACUCGGGUUCAUAGUUCUUCUGCUAGAAGUAAAAGUCAGUUCACCAUUAGGAUUAGACAUGAGUGGACGUUAUGAUGGCCUUGAUGGCAAAUGAAACAUACACAGCAAAUCAUCCUCCAUUGAAGCCAAUACAAAAACGACAGUCUCACGCAUUUUACCUGAACAAUGAACACAACAAAUUUAUGCACGAAGAAAUAGUUUUUUGCUACAAAUAGAUGAAUCAAAGUAAAUAAGAAUAUUUUGUCCUGUAAGGAAAAAAAACUCUAGACAAACACAACCGAAAUGUACGCACGGAAGCAUAAGAUUUCCUCGGCACAACGCACCCAAAAAAAGUUGGUGGAUGAGAAGCUACUUCCUAUAUGAACACAAAAGAAACCAAUCAUCAUGCAUUCUGAAUCUAAUUCCAAUGCAUACAAAAUGCACACUUGAUCAUUAAUCAAGUUCUUUAGGUAAAUCAGUUACUUUGAAUGAGCGUACACAUUUGAGUUAGCUUAGCUGCUCAAGGCCUGAACCAAACAGUGAUUACCACUAUUAAUCCAUACAUACUCCCUCCGUAAACUAAUAUAAGAGCGUUUAGAAUACUAAAAUAGUGAUCUAAACGCUCUUAUAUUAGUUUACAGAGGGAGUACAACAAUAAGCAUAGCUCGAGUGCUUAGCUGCGUACCACCCAUGUACAUGGUUAGAAAACUGCAAUGCUUACAAUUUUAAGGACUCCUCACCCAUAUAUAAGGAAAUGAACCUUCAGAAUGCGAUAUUACUUGUUUCUUUUCUCAGCAAAACAACUCAUGGCUUUUCUCUUGUCCUUAAAAAAUUCCCUUCCCCAGCUUCUUUUGCUGGCUUUAUAAUAGAAUAAACCACCAGAGAAUCUUAGGGAACUGUGUGUACAAUAUAACAAAUUAUAACAAAGACGGCAUUGCCUAGCAUGAUUCAGAAUCCAAACAAAAUAAUUUUGAAAUUCACCAUCCAAUGUAAAAUUUCUUAUGGUUACCACAAUGAAAACGUGUGCUUGGAGCUUGAAUUGUAUGUAUGUUGGUAUGGUACAUAACAAAUUGGUAUGGUAUGUUCAUAACAUAACACAAGAACUUGAAUUCUUAUCAAUACUGGAACGCAGCCAUGUUUACAAAUGUCGAAAUCUGAUAGGAGUAACAGGAGUACAAUAAAUGAGCGAGGAGCACACUUCUAUUAAUGUCCCAAAAAAGUGUAUAUUCUCCACAAAGCUGUGAUUUAAAAAUCUACAGCGACUGGUCCAAUUUUUUGGGUUCAAAAGUAUCAAAGAAAACAGAAGAGCGUAAGCUCUGCUACUAAGAAAGAAGUCAUGAUAUCUUCUAGCCUCUUGGGACAGUUACAGUCAUCGACUUGUAGCUUGGAAAGUUGGAACCUACAUGUUAGUCGAACCUAGAUCAAUGCAAACUCAUCAAGCACAGACCUUAUAUUCUAGUACCAGAACUGUAGAGUCUGUUAUCAACAUGUUAAACACAAGUCGCAUAUUCGGUUAAUGUUGAUAGCUAACAGAGAGGCGGCAACAGGCACAUUUAGAUACUAUGCAAAAAAAAAAAAAACAGAGCAAUCAAAGAUAGAAAAAGAAGACCUGUUUAAAAUUGCAUACAGAGCUGAAAAAAACCAAGUGAAUGGGGAUUGCAGCAAAGACCAAACUACAAAGGUUAUGGCCAAAGGAGGACACUUGCAGUGGAGAAGCAGCAGCUAUUGUUGACAGUGUCAUACAACACUUCCUAUGGUCUGAGAAUCUUCACCCGGCUUAAGAAAGCUUAACAAUAUUAAAAAGUAGAAGAGCUAAGCUGUUUUAAGCCUCAGAAAGCCGCAAAAAUAUCGUCAUUUGAAAUCUGAUGGUAAUUCCAACAUAAAGCUAAUCAUCAUAGGGUCCUAUAGUGUUCUAGAGAGAAAAAAGGGCCCUAAACAUCAUACCUUUGGGCCAAAAAAAUCAAAGAAACAGGGUGUAUCAGAGUAUAAAUGCCUUCUCAUUCACAGGAAAAUAAGCACUGUGUCAGAAGGUGUCCUAAGAUUGUUUCAAGGUUUCAUCCUCUGAUACUGACCAGAUCAACAAAAAACUGGACCAAAUGAAGAAACAUUAACUGAUUAAAAUCCUAUUCCAAAAAUUCCUAGCUAAUUAUCAGAUCAUGAAACAGAUUGUAACAUCCUGGGUGCCAACAAUCACCGAGGAAAAAAUACCUGAACUGACCAUACAUAGUCUGUGAAGCAAGAGUGAGCACGUGAUUGAUGGAGCUCCUUGGCAGCGGUGGUGGCUGCUGCUCCUGUACACACUGACAGCUCGAACACCCAGGCGUAGCCGAGAGAGCGCCGAUGCU
rnacentral:lncRNA from 1 species